rnacentral:rRNA from 1 species
UACGAAGGGGGCUAGCGUUGCUCGGAAUUACUGGGCGUAAAGCGCACGUAGGCGGCUCUUUAAGUCGGGGGUGAAAUCCUGGAGCUCAACUCCAGAACUGCCUUCGAUACUGGAGAGCUUGAGUUCGGGAGAGGUGAGUGGAACUGCGAGUGUAGAGGUGAAAUUCGUAGAUAUUCGCAAGAACACCAGUGGCGAAGGCGGCUCACUGGCCCGAUACUGACGCUGAGGUGCGAAAAGCGUGGGGGAGCAAACA